AUAGAUUAAAGAGUAUAAAACAAAUUUACAUGUUUUGCUUUUGUUCUCUUUAAGAUCUGGCAAGAAUAUCACAAGAACAGAAAAGGGAUUUCAGCUGUAAUUCCAGAUACUAAUUAUGCAAACAUUUAUUCUACUUCAUUGAAAUUUCCAGUAUUUCUUUUUCCACUUCCAAGAAAAGAUGGUUAUGAGUUUGUAGUCAGUCAGUUUUUGAAUCAUGAAUGCCAUUUUACAUUUUUAAUUAAUUUCCAGGCUUACAAAGAAAAUGCUCCAGAAUGUCUCAGAAUAAUACAUUAUCCUGAUUUUCAGAAAGAAAAAGGAAUUGUUCUUAUGCAUGGAGAAUUUGAUGAUCAG